rnacentral:lncRNA from 1 species
ACUUUACUUUACUUUUAUUUUAUUAUUUUAUUAUUUUACUUUACAUUUCUUUUAUUUAUUUUAUUAUUUUACUUUACUUUUUAUUAUUUAUUUUAUUUUAUUGUUUAUUUAUUUUGGGAGAGAGAGCGCGCACGUGCGAGGGUGCACAUAUGCCUAAGCAGCCCAAGCAGGGGAGGGACCAAGAGAGAGGGAGCUGUCAGUGCAGAGCCCGAUGUGGGGCUCAAUCCCACCAACCUGUGAGAUCAUGACCUGAGCGAAAAUCAAGAGUCAGGCACUUAACCCACUGAGCCACCCAGGCGCCCCCACACUGGCAUUUUAAAGUUAUCGGUAAGACAUUUCAUUUUUCAAUUAAGUUGUAAAUUAUCUUUACUAAUUCUUGACCCAGGAUGCUGGCAUACUGACUCCACCCCUGCUCUUUUAGAAAAAGAAAUGCUUUAUCUUUUCAUUCCUGAGUAACUGAAGUGUUUUGACCCAGAGAUAAAAAUCUUCGAGUCAGGUCACUUGAGGGUAGAACGUGGCUACUCUCACUCAUUUGGCUUUUUUUUUUUUUCUUCUUUUUUUCCUAAGGCAUCUGGCCUCCUUUGAAGACCUUUCUCUGUUAUCACCACAGUACUUGGCUCCUGAGGUGGCGCUGGCCAUGAAGGUACGGGCUGGACCUAUGGUGUGGACGAGCCUAUGGUCAGAGAAGCCUCUGUGCUCAGCAUCCAGAAGGGCCUCUGAGAUUUCAGACGGGCUCAACUAGUCUCCAAGACCAAAGGCCCUGGCUCCCUACUUGCACAGUGUCACCACAGCAGGUAGAAAGAAGUCCUCGGUGCCAUUGGAGAACGUUGGCCUCUGAGACGAGCAGUGGGGCCACCAGCCCUUUUAAGGGCUGACGAUUUUGAAUACCUGAAUGGUCUCGGGUUUUGCACUGGGCAGACAGAUUGACCAGACCUUCAGAAGUGGAAUGAAUGAUAAAGAAGCUUCAUCAUCUCCUGGGGAUCCCUUCUCCUCCAGUGUCGCCCCCUUUCCUGGCUCAGAUCGCCUCCCCAGUUUCACUUCUUCAUCUUACUAGGAGGC